rnacentral:rRNA from 1 species
AUUGAACGCUGGCGGCAGGCCUAACACAUGCAAGUCGAACGAGUGGCGGACGGGUGAGUAAUGUCUGGGAAACUGCCUGAUGGAGGGGGAUAACUACUGGAAACGGUAGCUCAUACCCCAUCCCACCAGAUGGGCCCAGAGGGGAUUAGCUAGUUGGUGGGGUAACGGCUCACAAAGGCGACGAUCCCUCGCUGGUCUGAGAGGAUGACCAGCCACACUGGAACUGAGACACGGUUCAGACUCGUACGGGAGGCAGCAGUGGGGAAGAGUGCACAAAGGGCGCAAGCCUGAUGCAGCCAUGCCGCGUGUAUGAAGAAGGCCUUAGGGUUGUAAAGUACUUUCAGCGGGGAGGCGUUACCCGCAGAGGAAGCACCGGCUAACUCCGUGCCAGCAGCCGCGGUAAUUC